CUUCAUCAUAAUUGCAUCAUCUGCAAAGAGCCUGUUUCCAAACAUGAUGGUUAAUACUGAGUGUCUACUUAAUUGGAUUGAAGGAUGCAAAGUAUUGCUCCUGGAUGUGUCUGUGAGGGUGUUGCCAAAGGAGAUUAACAUGUGGGUCAGUGGACUGGGAGAGGCAGACCCACCCUCAAUCUGAGUGGGCACCAUCUAAUCAGCUGCCAGCCAGCCAGGACAAAAGCAGGCAGAGGAACAUGGAAGGACUGGACUUACUGAGUCUUCUGGCCUCCAUCUUUCUCCAGUUCUGGAUGCUUCCUGCCCUCGAACAUCAGACUCCACAUUCUUCAGCUCUUUGACUCUUGAACAUACACCAGUGAUUUUCCAGGGACUCUCAGGCCUUUGGCCACAGACUGAAGGCUGCUCUGUCGGCUUCCCUACUUUUGAGGUUUUGGGACUCACACUGGCUUCCUUGCUCUUCAGCUUGUAGAUGGCCUAUUGAGGGACUUCGCCUUGUAAUCAGGAUUUACGACUACCCGUCUUCUCUCAGACUCUGCUCCUGGGAUGUAACAUUCAUUGCUUGCUAUGUCUAUACCUCACUACAUGCAAUGCACCUUUAGAAGACUGUCUCCUUACUCCAUAAUGGAAUUUGUCUCUGACCUAUUGCAGCUAUGAGAUAAGCAUUACCUGCCCCAGAGGCUACCUGCCACUCAGUGAAGAUCAUAUGCCUAAGUCAUGACAUCAACAUCAAACUCUCUUCAAAUCUGGGAGAAAGGCUCAGCUCUUACAACCAGGACAAGAAGAAAUGACACCAGUAGAGAGAUCAUUUGGUGAGCAGCAGGGUUGAAAGAGCCUCAAACCAUGGAGAGAGAGCCUGGAUCUCGAGUAGAAAGGCUUCUGGCACUGAAGAAGUCAAACAGGAUCCCUGAGAGGGAAAAAGCCAGGAGCUUGGGGAAUUAUCUUCACCAAGGUCUGUCUAGAGAUGUGGUUGGCAGAUUUAUGACCCCCAAAGAUGUCUACAUCCUAAACCCAGGAAUCUGUUGCUAAGACUGAGUAAAACAAGAAAAGCAAUGGGGAACCUCACUCACAUCCAUGCUUCCUUGUCUCAUCUGUAUGUAUGAUUUUUGCACAACUUAUUUGAUACUUUGGACAUAAAGCAAGGUAAAGUACACUCGAAUUGAGUCCAAGGUGAUAUUACUACCAAUCCUUUAAUCCAAGCUUUAUUUAGUGGUUGAACUUAGCAAAAUUUACUUGGUAAAUUCACAUGAAAUAUCAGAACCAAUCGUAGAUGCCUCAGGGAGAUAGGGUGGAAUAAUUGAAAGGGAGAGGAAGUAUCCCUAUUUAUGUUAUUUUUGUAGCUGUGAAGUUUUAAAUCUGUUGAGAAAAAUCUUGCUUCCAUAUUAAGAGAUCAUGCCUAAAAGUAGAAAAGAAAAAAAGAAAAGCAGAGUGAGAGAUGGAGAAAGACCAGGU
rnacentral:lncRNA from 1 species